GCGAAGUGCUUGGAAGUGGACCUGAAGCACUUAGAGACGGAAAAGGCUAAGCUGGAUCAAUCAGGUAGCCCUAACAAUCUUUCUCCAAGUACCGCUUCUCAUUCCAAGGUAGGUGAUGAUACAGAGGCCUUCUUAGAAAAUUCUGAAAGGGCCUGCUUUGGGUACAGCAUCCCUACAGACCAGUAUAUGGUGGAGCUGAGGCCACAACUCAGUGGAUCCUUAGCAGAGGUAGCAGCUGAAAUGCCUAAAGAAGAGUACGAACUUUUUAAACAAAAGGCCAGAAUUAGGAGGGGCUAACACCGGAGCAUGCCCGUCGGCAGUUUAGAGCCCUAAAGUGGAAACCAGACGUGGCAUUUUCCCGACACGCCUACCACAUUGUAAAGAAUUGGGAUGCCUGGAUAUUAGGAGCAAACGUUAAGUCUCUGGUAGAUCUGCAGGGGGGAAGAAGG